rnacentral:rRNA from 1 species
GAUUAACGCUGGCGGCGUGCAUAACACAUGCAAGUCGAACGAUGAAACUUAAAUGAUUUCUUCGGAAUGAACUUAAGUGGAUUAGUGGCGGACGGGUGAGUAACGCGUGAGUAACCUGCCUUACACAAGGGGAUAGCCGUUGGAAACGACUAAUAAUACCCUAUGAAACUAUCACUUCGCAUGAAGCGAUAGUCAAAGUGUUAGCGGUGUAAGAUGGACUUGCGUCUGAUUAGCUAGUUGGUGAGAAAAAAGCCCACCAAGGCAACGAUCAGUAGCCGGCUUGAGAGAGUGUACGGCCACAUUGGGACUGAGACACGGCCCAGACUCCUACGGGAGGCAGCAGUGGGGAAUUUUGCACAAUGGGGGAAAACCUGAUGCAGCGACGCCGCGUGAUUUAGAAGGCCUUCGGGUUGUAAAAAUCUUUUGUAUAGGAAGAAAAUGACAGUACUAUACGAAUAAGGGCCGGCUAAUUACGUG